rnacentral:rRNA from 1 species
AGAGUUUGAUCAUGGCUCAGAUUGAACGCUGGCGGCAGGCCCAACACAUGCAAGUCGAGCGGCAGCGGGGAAGUAGCUUGCUACUUUUGCCGGCGAGCGGCGGACGGGUGAGUAAUGCCUGGGAAAUUGCCCAGUCGAGGGGGAUAACAGUUGGAAACGACUGCUAAUACCGCAUACGCCCUACGGGGGAAAGCAGGGGACCUUCGGGCCUUGCGCGAUUGGAUAUGCCCAGGUGGGAUUAGCUUGUUGGUGAGGUAAUGGCUCACCAAGGCGACGAUCCCUAGCUGGUCUGAGAGGAUGAUCAGCCACACUGGAACUGAGACACGGCCCAGACUCCUACGGGACGCAGCAG